GUCUGCGUGUGUUUCAGGAAGCCGAGAAACGAAAGCGACGGCGGCGGCUUUGAAGGGCGGCAGCCCGCCCCGGCACUUUGAUCUGCGGGGCGGCCCCGGCCGGUCCCCGUCGUGUCCCCCCCCCCCCCCCCACGGGAGACGCCGCUCACGCAGGGCCGGAGGGGGGAGAAGCCUUCCCCGGGGCCCCCCGCGCCCUCUGCAUGCGUGUUCGUGGCGUGAUUUGGGGUUCGAGCAGGCGAGCCGUGCUCGGAGCGUCGCCGAUCGGGACUGACCCGCCUUUGCUGAUUACUUCAGUACUCAUCUCUCUUUUUGAAAUGGGUGGAUGCCUACCCACAUCAAUAAGUGAGUCCGUGGAGAAAGUAUGCAAAUACACGCUGUUACACUUUUAUUAUUUUGUGUGCAUACACACGCAUAUAUACCUGUACCCCUGCGUUACUUUCACAAUACUUACCUUAUUUUCACAGACUGACUUCUGAUAGUCCCCGUUGUGCUGCUGCCUGCCCCGCUGUGUGUGUGUGGGGGGGGAAUCCAGAGUUCUGGCUUUGGUGGUGUCGUUUUUCAGCAGCAGCUCCUGAGAAAUACAGGAAUCGCUUUGUAGGCAAGUGCUCUGCUCAGUGGGUGCAGGAUCUAGUCAUUAGCAUUUCUUUAUCUUCAUCAUAUUCAGAGCAAACACGAUCCCUGCACCAGGCACAGCCUGCCUGACAAAGCUGUGUGUUCGUGAUUUUUGUCGGCCUGUUUAUUUUUAGGGUCUUAGCGCCUGUUUGUAGAGAAUAGUUGUUCCAUCGUCAUAGCAACCAGGCUGAGUGUAUUAUAAACAUUAUUAAAGGAAACCUUUUCCAUCUUAAAUGUGACUUCCUUUUCAUAAUAAAGCUAGGAUCAACA